rnacentral:rRNA from 1 species
AUAGAGACUCAGAGCUGCAUAUCAAUAAGCGGAGGAAAAGAAACUAACAAGGAUUCCCUUAGUAACGGCGAGUGAAGCGGGAAGAGCUCAAAUUUGAAAUCUUCAAGGUUCUACCUUGACGAAUUGUAGUUUAAAGAAGUGUUUUCUGUUAGAUGAGUAGCAAAAGUUCCUUGGAAUGGGACAUCAUAGAGGGUGAGAAUCCCGUAUUUGCCGUUAUUCAUUCUAGCUGUGUGAUACACUUUCAAAGAGUCGGAUUGUUUGGGAAUGCAGUCCAAAAUGGGUGGUAAAUUUCAUCUAAAGCUAAAUAUUGGCGAGAGACCGAUAGCGAACAAGUACCGUGAGGGAAAGAUGAAAAGAACUUUGAAAAGAGAGUUAAACAGUACGUGAAAUUGUCAAAAGGGAAGCGUUUGACACCAGUGUUGUUUUUCCGAAAAUCAAUUACGAAUGUCUUGAUUUUGAGGAUUGUAUUGACCUUAUCAGGCUUGCUCACUUUUUUACGAAGUCUUUCUUAAUGCACUUUUCGGUUAACAAGUCAACAUCAAUUUCUUUUGUUGUAAAAGGGUCAUUGAGGAAGGUGACUUUCUUUUCGGAGAAAGUGUUUAUAGCCUUUGGCCUCUGCAAUCGGAGAGAUUGAGGUCUGCAGCGUAGAUCCUUCGGGGUUAGAUACAUUUGUGCUAAGUUAUAGCUUUCAUAGACAACUUGUUGACUAUGAUUAGUCAUGUCGCUUACUCGCUUAUGCUAUUUUACCUACGCUUAGGAUGUUGACGAUCAGCUGAGCGCG